AACAAAAUACCAAUAUUCUCUCCCUCUGCUUUGACGCUCACCAUUCAAGGCUUAUUUAUAAGAGUUAUAGCUUAAAUCUAAUUGAUCCUUCAAGUGCGUUUGUGCCAACAUACUGUGCACAACACCAAAUUCGACCUACUCAUUCAUGAUGUCCUUUCGUUCCUCGAAGUGUUCAUUGGCCACUGCCGUUCAGAAUGAUGUUUCAAAGACAUGAUUUUUGUUUUCCUCCCUCCUUCAAAGAACUCGCAAAAGCAACCCUCAAGUGAGGUGGCCACCAGUACUACCAGUACCCUGCCCUUGAAAUCCAUUAGGACCCUUCCCAUAUGUUCCACCAGGAUCACCGGACCUCUCCUUCCUUGCUUGAUAUGGAUCCCUUCCACCGGUGGCAUAAUCCAUAUUGCUCAUUGGCAUGGGAUCUCUUCUUUCACCUUGCCUCUGGGACCAUAACUUUGCUGAGGAGGAUAAAUUUGCAGAGCAUCCCACUGCAUAUGUCCCUGGUAACCAAUAUUGAGGGCUUCCUUAUCGAUUCGGCACAUGACCUCUUGCCGGUCUUAUCUAGGUUGGUCAUAGUUUCUAUUGCAUUCUACCUCCCGGCCUCCCAUACUUGAACUGGAGGUGGUAAAUGAGUAAUCAUUCAUUUUCAUACUUGUCACCGAAUGAUUUAGUAAGUUCAACAAAACAACAAGCGUUGCAGGGUCAUAAAUCAUAGGCAAGUUGAGCUUUUGGAUUUAGAGGAUGAAUGGAUUAAAUGACUGAAAAAUUGUGGCUGAGAUGUAUAGUAGACGCAUUUCUGUGGAGUCAAAUCAUACCUCCGUGCUCCUUGCUUUGGGAAUCAAUGUAGAAAUAAGGUAAUAUAAAAGCAACUCCAGGUAGAUCUGUUUAUAGCUCAAAA